rnacentral:sRNA from 1 species
CGAUCAGCUGCGGGCAGAUGAAGUGGAUAUGGGCGUCGAAGCCGCCGGCGGUGAUGAUCUUGCCCUCGCCCGCGAUCGCCUCCGUCCCCGGACCGACGAUGAUGUCCACGCCCGGCUGGGUGUCGGGAUUGCCCGCCUUGCCGAUGCCGACGAUACGCCCGUCGCGGAUGCCGAUAUCGGCCUUGAUGAUGCCGGUAUGGUCGAUGAUCAGCGCGUUGGUGAUGACCGUGUCCACGGCGCCCCCGGCGCGCGACACCUGCGACUGGCCCAUGCCGUCACG